rnacentral:rRNA from 1 species
CACGUAGUUAGCCGGGGCUUCUUGGUCAGGUACCGUCAUUGCUUUCUUCCCUGCUGACAGAGCUUUACAUACCGAAAUACUUCUUCACUCACGCGGCGUCGCUGGAUCAGGGUUCCCCCCAUUGUCCAAUAUCCCCCACUGCUGCCUCCCGUAGGAGUUUGGGCCGUGUCUCAGUCCCAAUGUGGCCCGUCCACCCUCUCAGGCCGGCUACUGAUCGUCGCCUUGGUCGGGCCUUUACCCCGCCAACCAGCUAAUCAGACGCGGAUCCAUCUUGCACCACCGGUAGUUUUUCACACUGUCCCAUGCAGGACCGUGCGCUUAGUGCGGUAUUAGCUACCUUAUUUCUAAGUCGUUACUCCCCCAGUGCAGGCACGGUUACCCACGUCGUUACCUCCACCCGUCCGCCUACUAAGAUUGCUACUUGUAUUUACGACCGAAAUCGCAUCCUCCGUCGUAACUCCCCGUUCGAC